GUUGAAACACCGGUCCUAGUACGAUCACCGAAGUUAAGCAACGUCGAGCCUGGUCAGUACAUAGACCAGUGAUCUCUUAGGAAUAUCAGGUGCUGUAAG